rnacentral:rRNA from 1 species
GCUGGCGGCACGCCUAACACAUGCAAGUCGAACGAAGUAGCAAUACUUAGUGGCAGACGGGUGAGUAACAUGUGGGUAUCUGCCCUAUGGCCUGGAAUAACACGAGGAAACUUGUGCUAAUACCGGAUAAGUCUUUACGGAGAAAGCUUUAUGCACCAUUGGAUGAGCCCGCACUUGAUUAGUUUGUUGGUAGGGUAAUGGCCUACCAAGACUUAGAUCAAUAGCUGAUUUGAGAGGAUGAUCAGCCACAUUGGGACUGAGACACGGCCCAAACUCCUACGGGAGGCAGCAGUGGGGAAUCUUGCACAAUGGAGGAAACUCUGAUGCAGCGAUGCCGCGUGAGUGAAGAAGGCCCUUGGGUUGUAAAGCUCUUUCGUCGGGGAAGAAAAUGACUGUACCCGAAUAAGAAGGUCCGGCUAACUUCGUGCCAGCAGCCGCGGUAAUACGAAGGGACCUAGCGUAGUUCGGAAUUACUGGGCUUAAAGAGUUCGUAGGUGGUUGAAAAAGUUGGUGGUGAAAUCCCAGAGCUUAACUCUGGAACUGCCAUCAAAACUUUUCAGCUAGAGUUUGAUAGAGGAAAGCAGAAUUUCUAGUGUAGAGGUGAAAUUCGUAGAUAUUAGAAAGAAUACCAAUUGCGAAGGCAGCUUUCUGGAUCAUUACUGACACUGAGGAACGAAAGCAUGGGUAGCGAAGAGGAUUAGAUACCCUCGUAGUCCAUGCCGUAAACGAUGUGUGUUAGACGUUGGAAAUUUAUUUUCAGUGUCGCAGCGAAAGCGAUAAACACACCGCCUGGGGAGUACGAC